rnacentral:rRNA from 1 species
AUUGAACGCUGGCGGCAUGCCUUACACAUGCAAGUCGAACGGUAACGGGCCUUCGGGUGCCGACGAGUGGCGAACGGGUGAGUAAUGUAUCGGAACGUACCUUUCAGUGGGGGAGUAACGUAGCGAAAGUUACGCUAAUACCGCAUAUUCUGUGAGCAGGAAAGCAGGGGAUCGCAAGACCUUGCGCUGAUUGAGCGGCCGAUAUCAGAUUAGCUAGUUGGUGAGGUAAAGGCUCACCAAGGCGACGAUCUGUAGCGGGUCUGAGAGGAUGAUCCGCCACACUGGAACUGAGACACGGUCCAGACUCCUACGGAGGCAGCGAGUGGGGAAUUUUGGACAAUGGGGGCAACCUGAUCCAGCCAUGCCGCGUGAGUGAAG